UACGUAGGGGGCGAGCGUUGUCCGGAAUUAUUGGGCGUAAAGGGCUCGUAGGCGGUUUGUCGCGUCGGGAGUGAAAUCCACUGGCUUAACUGGUGGCUUGCUUUCGAUACGGGCAGACUGGAGGUAUGCAGGGGAGAACGGAAUUCCUGGUGUAGCGGUGAAAUGCGCAGAUAUCAGGAGGAACACCGGUGGCGAAGGCGGUUCUCUGGGCAUGUCCUGACGCUGAGGAGCGAAGGCUAGGGGAGCGAACGGG
rnacentral:rRNA from 1 species